rnacentral:rRNA from 1 species
UACGAAGGGGGCUAGCGUUGCUCGGAAUCACUGGGCGUAAAGGGUGCGUAGGCGGGUUUUUAAGUCAGGGGUGAAAUCCCGGGGCUCAACCUCGGAACUGCCUUUGAUACUGCAAGUCUUGAGUCCGGAAGAGGUGAGUGGAAUUCCUAGUGUAGAGGUGAAAUUCGUAGAUAUUAGGAAGAACACCAGUGGCGAAGGCGGCUCACUGGUCCGGUACUGACGCUGAGGUGCGAAAGCGUGGGGAGCAAACAGG